rnacentral:rRNA from 1 species
UACGGGGGGGGCAAGCGUUGUUCGGAAUCAUUGGGCGUAAAGCGCGCGUAGGCGGCCCGGUAAGUCCGCUCUGAAAGUCCAGGGCUCAACCCUGGAAAGCGGGUGGAUACUGCCGGGCUAGAAUCCGGAAGAGGCGAGUGGAAUUCCUGGUGUAGCGGUGGAAUGCGCAGAUAUCGGGAAGAACACCCGUGGCGAAGGCGGUUCUCUGGGACGGUACUGACGCUGAGACGCGAAAGCGUGGGGAGCGAACAGG